rnacentral:misc_RNA from 1 species
CGCACAUUGCGCCCCUUGGUAUUCCAUGGGGCAUGCCUGUUCGAGCGUCAUUUGUACCUUCAAGCUUUGCUUGGUGAUGGGUGUUUGUCCAAUCUUCCGAUUAGACUCGCCUCAAAAUUAUUGGCAGCCGGCAUAUUGGCCUUUGGAGCGCAGCACAUUUUGCGAUCUAAGUCUGUAUACUGGUAUCCACAAAGCUCAAUUAUCACUUUUGACCUCGGAUCAGGUAGGGAUACCCGCUGAACUUAA